AAAGAGUGAAGUAGCUUGACAUAGAGGCCCAAGCUGCUGGUUCAUUGCUUGAGUUUGGGAGUUCUGAGCUGCAGUGGGCUACGCUGAUCUAGUGUCUCCACUAAGUCUGACACCAAUAUGGUGAGCCCCUGGGACUAGCGAGUCACCCUGCUGACUAGGGAGGGGUGAACUGGCCCAUAUCAAAAAUGGAGCAGGUCAAAGUUUCUGUGCUGAUCCAUACUAGGGUUCGGUCUGUUGGUAGUUACUGAACUUUCAACCUAGGUGCAACAGGGAGAU
rnacentral:SRP_RNA from 1 species